rnacentral:rRNA from 2 species
CGCUGGCGGCAGGCCUAACACAUGCAAGUCGAGCGGCAGCACAGGGGAACUUGUUCCCUGGGUGGCGAGCGGCGGACGGGUGAGUAAUGGCUGGGAACCUGCCCUGAUGUGGGGGAUAACAGUUGGAAACGACUGCUAAUACCGCAUGAUGUCUACGGACCAAAGAGGAGGACCUUCGGGCUUCUCGCGUCAGGAUGGGCCCAGUUGGGAUUAGCUAGUUGGUGAGGUAAUGGCUCACCAAGGCGACGAUCCCUAGCUGGUUUGAGAGGAUGAUCAGCCACACUGGAACUGAGACACGGUCCAGACUCCUACGGGAGGCAGCAGUGGGGAAUAUUGCACAAUGGGCGCAAGCCUGAUGCAGCCAUGCCGCGUGUGUGAAGAAGGCCUUCGGGUUGUAAAGCACUUUCAGCAGUGAGGAAGGUAGCGUAGUUAAUACCUGCGUUGCUUGACGUUAGCUGCAGAAGAAGCACCGGCUAACUCCGUGCCAGCAGCCGCGGUAAUACGGAGGGUGCGAGCGUUAAUCGGAAUUACUGGGCGUAAAGCGCAUGCAGGCGGUCUGUUAAGCAAGAUGUGAAAGCCCCGGGCUUAACCUGGGAACUGCAUUUUGAACUGGCAGGCUAGAGUCUUGUAGAAGGGGGAUAGAAUUUCC